CUGUGCUCGCGGCUGCCUCCACCCUCACCACUCAGCUCGUCCCUCCCUCGCGCCAACCUCUGUGCUAUUGUCCCACGAGUGGAGACGGUUUCAGCACCGGGACAGAUCCGCCACCGUCUCAUGGCAACAUGGCGACAGAGUUUCAUAACCUUCAGGAUCUAAGGCAUACUGCCUCUUUGGCCACCAAGGUGUUCAUUCAGAGGGACUACAGCGAAGGCACUGUCUGCAAGUUCCAGACCAAAUUUCCUGCUGAGCUGGACAGCAGGAUCGAGCGGACACUGUUUGAGGACACUAUAAAGACACUUAAUAACUACUAUGCAGAAGCGGAGAAGAUUGGUGGACGUUCUUACCUGGAGGGCUGUCUGGCCUGUGCCUCAGCUUACAUCAUCUUCCUCUGCAUGGAGACACGCUAUGAAAAGGUCCUGAAGAAGAUCUCCACAUACAUUCAGGAGCAGAAUGAGAAGAUCUACGCUCCCCGGGGCCUACUCAUUACAGACCCCAUUGAGAGAGGCAUGAGAGUGAUAGAAAUCUCCAUCUUUGAAGACCGCAGCUCCAGUGGCUCCAGCUCCAGUGGUAGCUCCACGUCCAGCAGCAGUGCUCGGUGACUGGAGGAGCAGCACCAGGGGUACGGGUAUCGGGAAGCCAGGGGGCUCCCCAAGAUCCGCAUGUUGAAACAUGAGAGCACCAGAUUCUGAAUGGAGAGGAAUUUUCACCUGGCUAUCCUAAAACCCCUUCUGAUCUUUCCUAUGGUUGGUUGCCUUUUUUUAUCCCCCCAAGACUCCUCAGUAAGCCAGUGCUGGUCUCUGAGCUGGCCAUCAGAUCAGUAGUGCUCUAGUGCGCACCUCCUUGUGCCUACUGCCUUCAUGUUUCAUCGCUGUGGGGAUACCCAACCUGGUGCUGACCAACUGGAAAAUCCUGACAGCCAGAGAGCCGUCUGUAAAUUGUACAUGACUUGCACUAUAGAUGCAUGAGAUUUGUUCUGUUUUUGUGUGGCCAAAAAGUAGAACGUCAGUCUCCAAGUGGAAACUCUGUAUUGGCGUUCAGUUAUGAAAGGCCCUUGAGUUUAAUAUAAAGAUUGUGUGUUCAUGUAUGCAUGUAUAAAGUGAGAGUGUGGUCAUGGACAUAUAUAGGUACAGUGUAUAUAGACAUACAGGGAUAUUUCAGAUUUAUACAAUGUAUAGGGGGUAGGUGAGAGUUUUUAAGCGUGCAUGGUUUACGAUUUUUUUUUUUACUGUGACUUACUGUAAGAAAAUGCUAACUUGAAUUACUGAAUUACAUAAAAAUGGACUGGUGAAAUGAAAGCUAAUGCCAGUUGUAUUUGUGUUAUCGUUGAUAUAAGACAGUUAGCUAUAAUGGAUUAGACAAGGCUGUGACAUUGCAUGUUUUGGAGUGGCUUAUGGUUGGCUGAGACUGACUCUCACCAUGGAGAUUGGUGUCCCUCUAGCAGAACAUAUGUAAAACUGUUUCCUACAAAAAACAUGACAUAAUAAUGCAACACACAUUAAGACGACAUAUGUUACCAUAUGUUUGUAUAUACAAGCUUUCUAUUUUGGUCAGGAAUGUAUCAUUCCUCAUGUGUAGAGCACAGUCAAGCCAAUUCAAUGAAGCAUCCUACACUUUUUGGCACAUUCACUGCUCGGGUAAAGUUUAGUUAGACUAAAUAGAAACGUGGAGGAAAAGUCUGGUCAAAGUUUACUUACUACCAUUGUAGCCUGUAUGAUGUUAUGUGUAAACAGUCUUAUUUUUGUAUAGAUAAUUAUUUUCUGUCUUCGUAUCAGACAGGAGUAUAGUAUAGACUCUCAAAACAUACUGACACUAUCAGAUUAUUCUAAUAUAUGAAAUGAGCUAGUGGCUCAUUACUGCUGCAAGGCCAUUGACAAAUUUGUGACAUUUUUCACAUACAUUUAUUAUUGUUGUUUGCGUAUAAUU